rnacentral:snRNA from 1 species
AGCUUUGCCCAGUGGCAGUAUCGUAGCCAAUGAGGUUUAUCCGAGGCACAAUUAUUGCUAAUAGAAGAUAUACAUCCCAGUGGUCUAGUGGUGGGACUGUAUAGUGGGAGCCUUUCCACAUUAUUCUCCUGAUGAGAUGAUGGUGAAUAAUUGUCUCAGAACCUACAGACUAUAAAUAGG